rnacentral:rRNA from 1 species
AGAGUUUGAUCCUGGCUCAGAUUGAACGCUGGCGGCAGGCCUAACACAUGCAAGUCGAGCGGCAGCGGGAAAGUAGCUUGCUACUUUUGCCGGCGAGCGGCGGACGGGUGAGUANUGCCUGGGGAUCUGCCCAGUCGAGGGGGAUAACAGUUGGAAACCGACUGCUAAUACCGCAUACGCCCUACGGGGGUAAGGAGGGGACCUUCGGGCCUUUCGCGAUUGGAUGAACCCAGGUGGGAUUAGCUAGUUGGUAGGGGNAAUGGCUNACCAAGGNCGACGAUCCCUANCUGGUCUGAAGAGGAUGAUCAGCCCCCCUUGGAACUGAGAC